CCUACGGGAGGCAGCAGUGGGGAAUAUUGGACAAUGGGGGCAACCCUGAUCCAGCCAUGCCGCGUGUGUGAAGAAGGCCCUCGGGUUGUAAAGCACUUUCAGUGAGGAAGAACGCCUGGUGGUUAAUACCCAUCAGGAAAGACAUCACUCACAGAAGAAGCACCGGCUAACUCCGUGCCAGCAGCCGCGGUAAUACGGAGGGUGCGAGCGUUAAUCGGAAUUACUGGGCGUAAAGCGCGCGUAGGUGGCUUGAUAAGCCGGUUGUGAAAGCCCCGGGCUCAACCUGGGAACGGCAUCCGGAACUGUCAAGCUAGAGGGCAGGAGAGGAAGGUAGAAUUCCCGGUGUAGCGGUGAAAUGCGUAGAGAUCGGGAGGAAUACCAGUGGCGAAGGCGGCCUUCUGGACUGACACUGACACUGAGGUGCGAAAGCGUGGGUAGCAAACAGGAUUAGAUACCCGGGUAGUC
rnacentral:rRNA from 1 species